GAAAUUUUUAUAUAAUUAUAGGUUAAAUUUUAAUUAUUUAAAAUGUAUAGUUAUAAUUUUAAAUUUUGUUAAUCGAAUUAGAUUAGUACCUAAUUAGUCAAAAGUUAAAAAAGCAGAAGUAAAGUAAAAUUUAAACUGAAAGAAUAUUGGCAGAUUUUCUAAAUUAUCUUUGGAGGUUGAGUAAUAAUUGAGAACCCUCAUUAACUACUUUUUUAGUUGUCUCAUGUAUGAUCGUUUAUUAUAUGCUUAAGGGAUAUAAUUAAAAAUUUUUAUUUAAAAAAAUAGAUAUAUAUUUGGUUUAUAUAAAAGUAAUAUUUGACCUACAGUAAUUUGUAAUUGUGGAUCUAUUUUUUAGUAAAGUAGUGAAAAUGUAAAAGACAGUAAAAAAAUUUUUAUGAUUUUUUGAAGAUUAUUUA
rnacentral:rRNA from 1 species